rnacentral:rRNA from 1 species
UUCAGAGUACGUGAAACCGUUCAGGGGUAAACCUGAGAAACCCAAAAGAUCGAAUUGGGAGAUUCAUCGUCAGCUCAUUUUGUAUAUAUAUAUGUUAUGAUACGAGUUAUUAUUUAACGAUAAUAUUGCUUGUACAUUCAUAUAUAUUUAGUUGCAAGAUGUUGUCGGCGUGCACUUCUUCCAUAGUAGAACGUCGCGACCCGUUGGGCAUUGGUCUACGGCUCAAGUGGAUAAGUCUUUAAUAAUAAUUUAUUUAUUAUUAAAGUCCCUUGAUGUUUUCUGACCAAUUACUCGGCGGUACACUUAAAUGGUAUUAAGCCGCAUAUUUUAUGCGUCUAUUCCCGUCGCAAGCGAGGCCAAUUACUGAUAUUACCGAACUUAGUUUCGUUUAUCUGGUAUUGGCCAGCUGUUGGUUGUUACGGUGUUCUAAGACUGGCUUAAAAAAAAAUUCAAUAAUAAUACCGGUCGGCGAUGCUACUGCUUUGGGUACUUUCAGGACCCGUCUUGAAACACGGACCAAGGAGUCUAACAUGUACGCAAGUCAUUGGGAUAUUUUUUUUUAAAUUAAACCUAAAGGCAUAAUGAAAGUAAAGAUCGUCCUUGCGUCGAUUGAGGGAAGAUGAGUUAUAUUAUAAAGUUGAAAAAUUUUUUUAUAGCUCCGCAUUCCCGGGGCGUCUCAUUCU